AUUGAACGCUGGCAGCAGGCCUAACACAUGCAAGUCGACCGAGUGGCGGACGUGUGAGUAAUGUCUGGGAACCUGCCUGCUGGGGGGGGAUAACUACUGGAAACGGUAUCUCAUACCGCAUACCAUCAGAUGUGCCCAGAGGGGUUUAGCUAGUUGGUGGGGUAACGGCGCACCAAGGCGCCGAUCCCUAGCAGGUCUGAGAGGAUGACAAGCCACACUGCAACUGAGACACGCUCCAUGCUCCGACGGGAAGCAGCAGUGGGGAGUAGUGCGCAAGGGGCGAAAGCCAGAUGCAGCCAUGCCGCGUGUAGGAAGAAGGCCUUCGGGUUGUAAAGUACUGUCAGCGGGUAUGCGUUACCCGCAGAAGAAGCAACGGCUAACUUCGUGCCAGCAGCCGCGGUAAUAC
rnacentral:rRNA from 1 species